AAACAAGGCUUCAUUCUGAAAAACUAUCGAGGAUCUUCAAAUUCACAAGUGGAUUUUCUCCUCAGGGGAGAGCUGCCAAUCUGUUGAAAGUUCUGUGUAAUUGCUGGGCCGCUGGGUUCUUUGCAUCUGUUCCUGGAGGCCACUGAAGUCACAUCCUGAAUUGCUUCUCAUCUGGGCCUCGGCUUGCGCCAUCUUUGGCUGGGCUUCAACAGAUCUCUUCAUCAGAAAGGAACUCCUUCAGAUGAAAUGGUCACCACAUGCUUGAUGCUCUACUUUGAGCCUUGCCACGGUCAGUUGAAUUCAAGCUACAGAGAAGAGGAGAUUCCCUUUUUUUUUCUCUCUCUCUCUUAUAUUACUCCUCUGGCUCAAGAACCUGCCAGGUGAUACCUCAGAGACGGGAUCUCCCUAUGCUCCCCAGACUGAACUUGAAUUUCUGAGCUCAAGCGAUCCUCCUGCCUUGGCCUACCAAAGUGCCAGGAUUGCAGGCAUCAGCCACCAUGCCUGUCCAGAGAGCAUUUUAGU